GACGAACGCUGGCGGCGUGCCUAAUACAUGCAAGUCGAACGAGAGCGACCGGUGCUUGCACUGGUCAAUCUAGUGGCGCACGGGUGAGUAACACGUGGGUAACCUGCCCAUCAGAGGGGGAUAACAUCCGGAAACGGAUGCUAAAACCGCAUAGGUCUUCGAGCCGCAUGGCUUGAAGAGGAAAAGAGGCGCAAGCUUCUGCUGCUGGAUGGACCCGCGGUGCAUUAGCUAGUUGGUGAGGUAACGGCUCACCAAGGCCGUGAUGCAUAGCCGACCUGAGAGGGUGAUCGGCCACAUGGGGACGGAGACACGGCCCAAACUCCUACGGGAGGCAGCAGUAGGGAAUCUUCCGCAAUGGACGCAAGUCUGACGGAGCAACGCCGCGUGAGUGAAGAAGGUUUUCGGAUCGUAAAACUCUGUUGUGAGAGAAGAACAAGUGCUAGAGUAACUGUUAGCGCCUUGACGGUAUCUAACCAGAAAGCCACGGCUAACUACGUG
rnacentral:rRNA from 1 species